UACGAAGGGGGCUAGCGUUGCUCGGAAUCACUGGGCGUAAAGGGUGCGUAGGCGGGUCUUUUAAGUCAGGGGUGAAAUCCUGGAGCUCAACUCCAGAACUGCCCUUGAUACUGAGGAUCUUGAGUUCGGGAGAGGUGAGUGGAACUGCGAGUGUAGAGGUGAAAUUCGUAGAUAUUCGGAAGAACACCAGUGGCGAAGGCGGCUCACUGGACCGGUAUUGACGCUGAGGUGCGAAAGCGUGGGGAGCAAACAGG
rnacentral:rRNA from 1 species